UGGGGAAUAUUGCACAAUGGGCGCAAGCCUGAUGCAGCCAUGCCGCGUGUAUGAAGAAGGCCUUCGGGUUGUAAAGUACUUUCAGCGGGGAGGAAGGGAGUAAAGUUAAUACCUUUGCUCAUUGACGUUACCCGCAGAAGAAGCACCGGCUAACUCCGUGCCAGCAGCCGCGGUAAUACGGAGGGUGCAAGCGUUAAUCGGAAUUACUGGGCGUAAAGCGCACGCAGGCGGUUUGUUAAGUCAGAUGUGAAAUCCCCGGGCUCAACCUGGGAACUGCAUCUGAUACUGGCAAGCUUGAGUCUCGUAGAGGGGGGUAGAAUUCCAGGUGUAGCGGUGAAAUGCGUAGAUAUCUGGAGGAAUACCGGUGGCGAAGGCGGCCCCCUGGACGAAGACUGACGCUCAGGUGCGAAAGCGUGGGGAGCAAACAGG
rnacentral:rRNA from 1 species